GACGAACGCUGGCGGCGUGCUUAACUCAUGCAAGUCGUACGGUAAGGCCCUUUCGGGGGUACACGAGUGGCGAACGGGUGAGUAACACGUGAGUAACCUGCCCACAACUUUGGGAUAACGCUAGGAAACUGGUGCUAAUACUGGAUAUGUGCUCCUGCUGCAUGGUGGGGGUUGGAAAGCUCCGGCGGUUGUGGAUGGACUCGCGGCCUAUCAGCUUGUUGGUGGGGUAGUGGCCUACCAAGGCGGCGACGGGUAGCCGGCCUGAGAGGGUGACCGGCCACAUUGGGACUGAGAUACGGCCCAGACUCCUACGGGAGGCAGCAGUGGGGAAUAUUGCACAAUGGGCGCAAGCCUGAUGCAGCAACGCCGCGGGCGGGAUGACGGCCUUCGGGUUGUAAACCGCUUUCAGCAGGGACGAAGCUUUUUGUGACGGUACCUGCAGAAGAAGCACCGGCUAACUACGUG
rnacentral:rRNA from 1 species